rnacentral:lncRNA from 1 species
CGGCCAAGUGCCGCGCAGCCGAGGUCGGCCUUGCUGAUCUGUGGUGGCCCAGGGCGACCCGAAGCGCACCGGCUUCAGGGUGCGCCCUGGCCAGGGCGUGGGGUGGAGGGUCACAUAAGCCACCUGGCAUCCGAGGGUGGCCGCCUCGCCCCCUCAACGCCGCUCUCCAGGGAAGGAGGCGGCGGGGUCACCAGGGCGCAGCUGACAGCCCCAGGCCCCGGCCAGGGCGCACCCUAAAGAAGAGGGAGGCUGCUGCCUGAACUGGCCUGGGGGCAGAGGGAAGUGGGCCCCGCGCUGUGGAAGGCCCCAGGCUGGAGCGCCGGGGACAGCUGUCCAAGCGGCGAGGGCUAGGAGUGGCCUCGCCUAGCGCUGAGCCGGCCAGGCCCUGGAGGUGCUCCGCGCCUUCUCGGCCAAAAGCCAGCUCCGCGCCGCUGGCGGAGUGGGAGGGAGGCGGCCAGGCGAGCGCCCCGCCUUCGUCGCCCGCGGUCACAGGGGCAAUUACACUCCUCGCUGCAGACGGUUACCAGCUCGCCCGCGCAUCCCUCUCUCGGCUCCCCUCUCCUCCCCUCUCCUCUCCUCCCCUCCCCUCCUCCGCGGAACUGCUGGCUCCAUAUUAGCGAGGGUGCCCUGGCAGCGCGACCGAGGCCAACUACCCCUGGGGACCCUCCCGAGGCUCCCCGCACCCUGCACACCCUCAAGAUCGCCAAGGCGAGCCCACCGCACCCCACAGCGCGUCCCAAGGGCACCACAGCCGAGGAAGCGACUUUUGCGGUAGCGAAAGGGUGGCAGUACCCAGCUCCACGCGCUGCAAGACUCUAGCAGCCGCGCUUCACCCCAAAACUCUGCCCCUAGCCAGCACAGCUCCCCUAGCGCCCCAAAUCCCAGGUGUGCCUGUUUCCCUGGAGUCCCGCCGGCGUGCUUUGCUAUUCGCAGCUCGACGCCUAGACCUCCUGACUGCAACCUCCGAGGCCUUUGCGCUCCCAGGCGUCCUUUGCUGCAAGCAAACAGGCCCCCAACCGCCCCCUAUGGGGUAAGCCUCGCGGAGUCCUAGGACACAUCCCACAAACCGAGGUGAACCUAAGCCACCGGCUACGUCUGAAGGGAGGACAGACGAGACGAGGGGCAGCCAACUGAGCGAAUCACUCUGCCUUCCGCCUUUGCAAAUGAAUAGGGCUCUGUCUACAGCUUCCGCCAUUCCUACGCCAGAUCUGCAACGCCUAAGGCUUAAACUUGGCGCGGCGGUAAAUUUAGCCCGAAGGCAGCGGCUCCUAAGGGGCGGGGAUGUCUCCUUGGAAGAAGGAAAGGGAACAGGGUAAGAAAAUGGAGUUGCCUCUAGGAAGAAGAAUCAGGCAGAGGAAACAUUCAGGGCCGCUGGCGGACCACUGACAAAAAGAAAUCGGACGCAAAAGAAACCUCCCCAGAAGAAACUGGGCCACCGUGGGAGCCGUGCGAGACAGACUUCCCAUCUGGGAAGGGCUGCCUACGGGUAAUUGGGUUUGCUCGAGUUGCCUCUAUAAUUAAUAAGUGAUUUGACUUGGAGAUUGGAAAUAGUCAUGAAAGGAAGCCGCGGGCGUAGGGGUGUGAGGCCCAGGAGCCUCCAUCCGAAAUCCAAAGACCGCGGAGGAGGACGGUUUAAGGAACAGGACGAAUGUGAUAAUAUUGGCAUCUAACCUUCUAGUGUUUGAGUAAUUCGUUGCUUAGCUACUUUGGAUAGGCCAUUAUUUUGCAAACUGGAAACAUUUGCAAGUGGUGAUAUUUUGCUCUUGCCUGACGCAGGGGCUGCAAACCUACGCCGGCUCUGCUGAACUCUUCGAAAUAUAUAUGCAUAAAUUGUUCCUAAUGAGACCAUCUGUUUUUUAUGGCCCCUCUGGAAGCAGGAGGAACCCGAAGCCUGCUCCGUCUUGCAGAAAUCUGUGGCCAGGCAGGCCUGGGAAAUAAAUAGGGGAGAUUAGAACGGUGUGCGUGAUUUAACAAUACGCAGAACGGCAAGUUCGGUGGUCGAGAUGUGUGCCUCGAUUCCCAGGGGUGCGGGUCAUUUAGGGUGACUCCAGACAUGGGGGUUCCUCCUAGGAGGCCCAGGGACUUUGCGGAGUUCCACGGCACACACGAACCUCGUUUUUCCAUAUCUGGAACAUCGCCAGAGCCACAACGCGAAACCACGAGCCUGUAGCUGCUCUGGGGACCCAAAACAAGCACCCAGGUUGUAGGUGGUCCCCGACGUCGCCCACUAUCUAGGGCCUCCUUCUACGGUGGUGAAGGGAGCUGAACCUGGGCCACAGAGGCAGAGAACGAGCAUCACUCCACCCCAUACCCGGGUCAGAGCACAGAGCUCAUUCCGGGCCUAUCCCAAAGACUGAGCUGCUCCGCGAGCGUCUGGCAGGCCCAGCGCCCCGGCCUGAGACCGCACUGAGGGUGGCAGGGCAAACACUUUUCACAUUACCGCGUGGCUGUUAAUUGGGGCAGUGCAAAAGACGCCGCGACUACCCCUUUGCGGCGGCGGGGGAGGGGGGAGCGGGUCAGGAGUGGGCAGUGGGGGCUGCUUAUAAUAGAAGGACUGCCCUGGGGAGCCUCAGAUAUCGGUAACCCCCAUGAUUAAUUCAUAACUCUCCACUGCGCCUGGCACCGUCUCGGGUCUUUAAUCGGUUCUGAAUGUCAGCGAGGCUUCCCCGACAGCCUGAGCACUGCUUUUUCAAUGUGUUGAAAGUCGCUGCGCGCACACCAGGAGACAAAGUUGCCAUCUGCUCCGGGGACCAAGGCAACUGGGCGCUGGGAGGGGCCUUCCUCCCGCGGCUCCCGCUGCCCCGGGCGGCCUCCUCUUCCCGGCCUGCCCCAAAGCCAACACUGUCACCCGGAACGUCCCCGCCCCCCGCCCCGGGUGCAUGCAUGGUGGAAACUCCGGCUUGCAGCGAAACAGAGCGCUGCGCGCGGGCGCGCAGGGAGCCUCGCGGUCACCCAGACCGAGACCUAUGCUAAUGAGAUUAUAGGCCCGGGUUGUUUGUGUGCGCGGACGUCAAAGGGGGGGCGCAGAUAAAGUGUGGAAACCGGGAUGACUUGGAGGGGGGAGGGGCAGGAAGCCCCAGGAGAACAAAGCUCCUGGCCGUCGGCCUCCAAAGAGUCGCAGAAGUGACCGCCACUGGCUCGUGCACAGGCGGAAGCGGGGGAGGGCGGGGGACGCCAGGCCUAAAGCGCCUCGUGGGUUUAGAGAACUCAGAGAGGGCACCGGGUGGGGGUGGGAAGAAGACUCAACCCGUAGCUAAAUGUUUGGCCUUUGGCUAUUUUUUAAGGAAACGAAUCUCAGGGAGGUCGGGGCGCGGGGGAUGGGGGCAUCAUCGCGCCUCGGAGAUGGGAAGCGAGUUCCCCUCCGCUUUCUGGGAAAAGCCUUGUCUCCCUUCUUUCCCCUCCCCCCAUCCUGCUGAGGGUUUGCGUUGACCCAUCUCUCCGCUCGGGACCGGCAGGAGGACGGAGCCGCAGGGGCUGACCGCGGCCCAGAGGCUGCCCAGGGGUCGCGCUGCUGCCGGCCUGCGCUUCCGCACUCCCGGGUUCGGUGCGUCGCCUCUCGCGGCAGCGCCUCGCUUCUUCCAGACUGUAAUUCCACACUCCCGCAAGCGCUGGGGCUGCGGAAUCGUUUGAGGGAGUUGGAACUGCAUCAGAUGAGCACGCCGGGAGGUGAGAUCGGACACGAAAAUUGGACACGUGGAGAAUUAGCCCUGCUGGAGAAGCGCUGGGUGCAGACUCAAACAAUGGUUUCCAGCGCCGAAGCUGAGGCAUCACCUUCCCCACCUCCACCCUCAAAUGGCAGCUGCCUCUAUAUACAGCGGGCACACCCCUUCACUACCCACCCCCUCCCCCAAAGCCUGGUUAGGGACCUAUGUGGGCUGCACGCUCUGGAGCCCCUUGCCCGGACACAAACCCUAGGUGGGCCUGGGCUGCCCGCUGAGUAGCUCAUUGCGCCUGGGAUCCCCUGGGAUUUAGAAGUAUAGGGCUCUCUAUUUUUCCCUAGGAAGGUCCUGUCUCAAAGAUGCCACCCCCAAAAAUUAAUGUGUAAAAACCCAACCAAGCUCCAGUCUCUGUGUCCUUUGGCAAAUCUAUCUUUCCUAGGGCAUACUUUCCUAAGCUGCUGGGACCUUGCCCCCCAUCUGAUGAGCCAUACGCAGGUGGUCUGGCCUCUUCAGAGCAGCUUCCUUUAGUUAUUGUCUUCUCCAGAGGCCCCAUCCUCCACGGCAGCCCUAAUCUUAGCCCCCCAGCCUCUCUGAGCCCCCAUCCCACCCCCACACUGCGCUGAGCUGGCAGCAGCCACAGCUCCCCCAGGCAGUUCCUCUCUCACUGCGCGGCCUGUGCAUCUCGCUGGGGCACACACUCCGCACAGAAGCUCCCUCGCCUCCUGGAGCUGGUUUCCUCUUACAGGCUCCCCUUAGAGCUGCUGGUGCUGUGACAACGCCUGCAUCUCUGUGUCUCCCUGCAGCGCUGCGAGCUGUGAAUCUGCCUUCUCUUCCCUUCCUGCAAAGGUCAAGCUGCCUCCUUCUCUCGCAGGGCCGCAGUUCAGUUCUGGCCUGCAGAGCUUCUACACUGCAACUUGAAUAUGGGAAUGGGGUGGGCAUCGUGCAAGGGAGCAGUCACACUCAAGCCAGGAGGCAGGGACAAAAGGGUGUGCGAUUCAGGGAGGGAAACACUGAGGACAACCCUCAGAAAGCAGUGCAGGAUUUGCAGCUAAAGACUCAAAAGAGGGAGAGAAAACGAGGAAAAGGCUGUUACUAGGUCGUGAGUCCUGAAGUGUAGGCCUUUCUCCUCCCACCCCGUGGGUUGCCCUAGGGGAAGGCCAGAAGAGGCCUCAGGUGUCUGCACUGUGUCCUGUGCAGUUCCUAGGGCCAUGCACUUCCGGUGAGGCUGCACUUUACUCCAAGCAGGAGUCAGAAGCAUGGAAUUCAGUGGCCGCAGGAGCUCAAGUCGGCUGCAGCCCUUUCAAAGAGGGACCCCGAAGAGGCCUUUCUGCCACCCCAGCCCCAGAGAGGCUAUGAGGCUCUACAAGCAGCAGAGAGAAUGAUACGGAGAAAAAUGAGAGGAAACGCUAUUAAACUUGCUUCCUCUAAAGAGCGCUACCCACCGUUUUCUCUGAACUGUACCUAAAAAGUCAGGAGAGAACUCGUUAACUUUUGUUUGGUUUAACAUUGCCAGCUUCAAGUCAACCGUAGGCCCCCCGAAGGUUUUGUAAAAUAUUUAAUCUAGCUCAGACAAUUUCCUGCAGUCCCUAACCAGACCACCCCACUUACUGAGCCGCUGCCAAAAAGGAUGCUUGACUGCAGACUGGCAACCAGAGGCCUUCCAGUCGCCUGGCUGGCCUUGACCUCCACUCGAGGCGCCAGGAAAGACCCUUCCCGGAAUCCCGAGAGACCAAGACCUGGGUAAUCCUGGAGGUCUAAACCCGUGAGGAAGCCCAAGAAAUGGAGUUAAAGACCCUUUUCGCACAACCGAUUGUUGUCUGUGUGACCUUCUGCGGCCCUUGCCCUCUCUGAACCCUCUAAAAUGGGCAUGAGGAUGUCUCACCUUCCUCUGGGUGUUAUGCAUUUUGAAGCGUGGGCACUAUGGGAGAGGCUGACGCUCUGUGUUCCCCAGCGCCCUCCACUCCCACCCCUUCACUGUUUUCUUCGACAUUAUCUCCCUAGAGAACACAGCAAGCAGGAGCGGGAUCCUUCGACUCGGCUGACUCUCAACUCCUUCCAAACGUGAGGCUGACGGGGAGAACUCCUGCUCUGCCCAGUUUCCAUUCCCGCCUCCAGAAUAACGAGCCGAAAACAUGUGUACUGUAAAUAAAGCCUGUCUAAAUAAAGCACUCGGGUAAAGGCUACCGAGAAAACACUCCGCAUCGCUCUGUGCUCAGAGCGUGAGUCAGCUUCCCAGCCCCGGGGGAACAAUGGGGACCUUGCCAAGGGUCCCCUUCUGUCGACCCCUGACGGCCCCCAGGCCCGUUUGGGUGGCGGGAGUGCCGGCACCCUGGGACCUUCGGGCCCGAGGUUCGGGAGGGCUAAGGGCGCUCCAGGCGACCAGGGUUGGGGUCCAGCCCCAGGAUUAGCGCGGCCAGGAAUCCCUCUGCCCGCAGCUGCCGCGGAGGGGUUGAGGGUUAAACAGACACCGGGCAGAGGAGCGAGCCUGCCGGCUGCGGCCGGCGCGGCGCGGCGCGGGGAGAGGACGGGAGGGAAGAGGGCGCACGCUACCUAGCCUCCCGACGAGAAGACGUCUCCUCCCCACGUCAGGCCGGGCUCUCGCCCACUCGGCUGGCCGCCUCUGCUCCCUGGCCUCUCAAGUCUCAGCGGAAAGAAACGUAGCGGCUGCCAAAAGCACCCCACUCCUUUUAUUGUCCCCAUAAGCCUAUACACGUACACUAGCCACCCCCCCAACACACACACACAACACGCACACGUGUGCGGGAGACUCGAGGAUGCCCUGCCUCCAUCGCUCACAGACUGCAAUCUCCAGAGGAUAUCGGCAAAACGCUGAUCCACGUGAGGACUCGCAGUUUUCGACCUACUGGGAGCCAGCACCUGAAGCAAAGGAUUCGAGUCCUGAUGUCCGGAGACUCAUUAAAAUAUUUUCCUAAGCGCGCACACACUCGCAGGUCCUCCUCCUUGGUCGUCGGUAACCCACCACCCAACCGAAUUAAAAUUCGCAAAUUGAUUCCCACGCGUUGGUAUUAAUGGGUUGUUCCUCUUAAAUUGUUGCCAACUUUGCUAAUGGAUUAUUAUUUAAAUGAUUUCUUUUUCAUAAAGUACGUGUUGUUUUAUAGAUGCGUAUUUACUUAAAGAAAUCAACUGCAUGUAUUAACAUAUUAAAGAGAGAAUAAAGCAUCGGGGCCGGUGUAAUGUACUGUUCAGCCUUACUUUGGGUGCUCUCGAAGAUAGGAAAAUCUUAUUUGUUUAAUAAUAAGUCACUCAUGAAUAUGCAAAUGGCAUCGGUGCAGUACCUCACUUCUGUCACUAUUAAUGAGUUGCAAAUUAAUGUGACAACAAAAGGAAAAUCUAUUUAGUGGAGGAACUCAGGUUCCUACCUGGGGAGAUCACAAGCAAGCCUGGAACUUGAGUCUCCAGGCAGGAGAGGACUGGGGAUGGACACGUACCUCCUCACGUAGUGUUUUCCUGGAGCCUCCACUAUUGUUUGGUUUCAGGGACCUGCUUUGUCAGGAACCCCUUAAAAUUCCUGCUCCAGACCAGAGGAAGAAAGGCUGCUCCAGGGUAAUUAGGGCCAAGUGUGAUUAAUGGAAAUCAACCCACAGUUUGAAGUAAAGCAGUUGGCCAAGCAGAUUUUGGGGGGUCUCCUCCCCCGAGCUUAAAGAUUCCCCAAAGCCUUUUUGACCUCUGUUGCUUUGGACAGGGUUGAGGACGUAAAUAGCGAAUUAGCCCUCACAGGCCUGAUCACAGGUAUUAAGACAGCACCCUAUGCACUUGAAUUUUACGAGGUGACUUUGCUGAUGGGAGAUUUAAGAGCAGAUCAGCUCAUUUUCCUGCCGACCUACUUCCCAG